AUUGAACGCUGGCGGCAUGCUUUACACAUGCAAGUCGAACGGCAGCGCGGGGGCAACCCUGGCGGCGAGUGGCGAACGGGUGAGUAAUGUAUCGGAACGUAUCCUGUAAUGGGGGAUAACCAGUCGAAAGAUUGGGUAAUACCGCAUACGCACGAGAGUGGAAAGUAGGGGAUCGCAAGACCUUACGUUAUAGGAGCGGCCGAUAUCUGAUUAGCUAGUUGGUGGGGUAAAGGCCUACCAAGGCGACGAUCAGUAGCUGGUCUGAGAGGACGACCAACCACACUGGGACUGAGACACGGCCCAGACUCCUACGGGAGGCAGCAGUGGGGAAUUUUGGACAAUGGGCGAAAGCCUGAUCCAGCCAUGCCGCGUGCAGGAAGAAGGCCUUCGGGUUGUAAACUGCUUUAGUCUAGGAAAAAGGGGUGCGAGGUUAAUACCCUCGUGCUUUGAUGGUACUGGAAGAAUAAGCACCGGCUAACUACGUG
rnacentral:rRNA from 1 species